UAUUGCACCUGUCCCGGCCGAU
rnacentral:miRNA from 1 species